AAUAGGAGAAUGACAAAUCAGAUUUUUUCUCCUGAUUUUCAGCUUUUUUCUCUCGAAUAAAAUUUAAAUUCAACUAAAAAUGCUAAAAAUCAGGAGGAAAAAUCUGAUUUAUCAUUCUCCUAUU
rfam:Gossypium hirsutum cultivar TM-1 unplaced genomic scaffold scaffold4128.1, whole genome shotgun sequence